rnacentral:rRNA from 1 species
AGAGUUUGAUCCUGGCUCAGAAUCAACGCUGGCGGCGUGCCUAACACAUGCAAGUCGAACGCGAAAGGGGAGCAAUCCCUGAGUAAAGUGGCGACCGGGUGAGUAACACGUGACUAACCUACCCUCGAGUGUGGAAUAACAUCGGGAAACCGAUGCUAAUACCGCAUAACAUCGCAAGAUCAAAGGAGCAAUCCGCUUGAGGAGGGGGUCGCGGCUGAUUAGCUAGUUGGCGGGGUAACGGCCCACCAAGGCGAAGAUCGGUAGCCGGCCUGAGAGGGCGCACGGCCACACUGGAACUGAAACACGGUCCAGACUCCUACGGGAGGCAGCAGUGGGGAAUUUUGCGCAAUGGGGGAAACCCUGACGCAGCAACGCCGCGUGGAGGAUGAAGCCCCUUGGGGCGUAAACUCCUUCGACCAA